rnacentral:misc_RNA from 1 species
CUCAAAUAAGGGAAAUGCGAAGAAACCUUGGUCAGUACUCGAGGCAUUUUCUGUAUUCUAGUCCAGCUCAGUCCUUGGGUCCGGAAGACUUAGUCUGGAGAAUGAUGGCUGGUAAAUUGGUGAAUAUCAAACUUCACACUCGAAGAUCACAGCGUGUGGUGAAAGAGUCUAGGAGCAUAUGUACUUGUGAUUGUAAACGUGCGAACUUUACAGGUCCCAAUAUAGUGUAGGUUUAUAUCCACACGUGAAAGAAUGAUUUCAAAUAACAGAGAUCUUAACCUACACUAUAUUGGGAC